ACUUGUUCUUUAAAUAAGGACUAGUAUGAAUGGCAUCACGAAGGUUAUACUGUCUCCCCUUUUUAAUCAGUGAAACUAAUCUCCCCGUGAAGAAGCGGGGAUAAAACUAUAAGACGAGAAGACCCUAUGGAGCUUUAGACUAAGCAACUUUUGUUAUUUAAACACUUAUACCCUCCGGAAAUCUAACUAUAUUUUAUCAUAUUGAUUGCUUGUCUUAGGUUGGGGUGACCGCGGAGCACAACAUAACCUCCACAAUGAAAGAAACUUAAUUUCUUAACCCAGAAUUACAAUUCUAAGUACCAAAAAUUUGACAUAAAUUGACCCAAUAAGUUGAUCAACGAACCAAGUUACCCUAGGGAUAACAGCGCAAUCUACUUCAAGAGCCCCUAUCGACAAGUAG
rnacentral:rRNA from 1 species